GGGUUCCCUUUUCACCAUAUCCUUACCAGCACCACUUGUCCUUUGUCUUCUUGAUGAUACCCAUUCUAACAGGUGUAAGGUGGUAUCUCAUUAUGGGUUUUAUUUGCAGUGCCCCUGAUAAUUUGUGAUGUUGAGCAUUGUCUCAUGGCCUGUUGGCCAUUUUCAUGUUCUCUUUGGAAAAAAUGUCUGUUUGGUUCUGCCAGUUUUUAAAUCAGAUUGCUUUUUUUGUUAUUAAAUUGUAUAAUUCUUUAAAUAUUUCAGAUAUUAAACCCUUGUCUGAUACAUGGGUACGCAAAAAUUUUAUCCCAUUUAUAGGCUGUCUUCAUUUUAAAUUCUUCUGCUGUGCAGAAGCUUUUGAGUUUGAUGAAGUCCCAUUUCUUGAUCUUUAGCUUUUGUUCAGUGCCUCUGUGUCCUUACUUAUUUUCUGUCUGGUGGAUCUGUCCUUUGGAGUGAGUGGUGUGUUAAAGUCUCCCAAAAUGAAUGCAUUGCAUUCUAUUUCCUCCUUUAAUUCUGUUAGUAUUUGUUUCACAUAUAUUGGUGCUCCUGUAUUGGGUAUAUAUAUGUUUAUAAUGGUUCUAUCCUCUUGUUGGACUGAGCCCUUUAUCAUUAUUGAAUGUCCUUCUUUAUCUCUUGUUACUUUCUUUGUUUUGAAGUCUAUUUUGUCUGAUACUAGUAUUGCAACACCUGCUUUUUUCUCCCUAUUGUUUGCAUGAAAUACCUUUUUCCGUCCCUUGAUUUUUAAUCUGUGCAUGUCUUUGGGUUUGAGGUGAGUUUCUUGUAAGCAGCAUAUAGAUGGGUCUUGCUUUUAUAUCCAUUCUAUUACUCUGUGUCUUUUGAUUGGUGCAUUCAGUCCAUUUACAUUUAGGGUGAUUAUUGAAAGAUAUGUACUUAUUGCCAUUGCAGGCUUUAGAUUCAUGGUUACCAAAGGUUCAAGGUUAGCUUCUUUACUACCUUACUGUCUAACUUAACUCACUUAUUGAGCUAUUAUAAACGCAGCCUGAUGAUUAUUUCUCUCCCUUUUUAUUCCUCCUCCUCCAUUCUUCAUAUGUUGGGUGUUUUCUUCUGUGCUCUUUUUAGGAGUGCUCCCAUCUACAGCAGUCCCUCUAAAAUACCCUGUAGAGGUGGUUUGUGGGAGGCAAAUUCCCUCAACUUUUGCUUGUCUGGGAAUUGUUUAAUCCCUCCUUCAUAUUUAAAUGAUAAUCAUGCUGGAUACAGUAUCCUUGGUUCAAGGCCCUUCUGUUUCAUUGCAUUAAAUAUAUCAUGCCAUUCUCUUCUGGCCUGUAAGGUUUCUUUUGAGAAGUCUGAUGAUAGCCUGAUGGGUUUUCCUUCGUAAGUGACCUUUUCUCUCUCUCUGGCUGCCUUUAAUACUCUGUUCUUGUCCUUAAUCUUUGUCAUUUUAAUUAUUAUGUGUCUUGGUGUUGUCCUCUUUGGGUCCUUCCUGUUGGGAGUUCUGUGUACUUCCAUAGCUUGAGCAACUAUUUCCUCCCCAGGUUUGGGAAAGUUUUCAGCAAUUAUUUCUUCAAAGACACUUUCUAUCCCUUUUUCUCUCUCUUCUUCUUCUGGUACCCCUAUAAUCUGGAUAUUAUUCCUUUUGGAUUGGUCACAUAGUUCUCUUAAUAGUUUCUUUCCUGGAGAUCCUUUUAUCUCUCUCUGCGUCAGCUUCUAUGCAUUCCUGUUCUCUGGUUUCUAUUCCAUCAAUGGCCUCUUGCAUCUUAUCCAUUCUGCUUAUAAAUCUUUCCAGAGUUUGUUUCACUUCUGUAAUGUCCCUCCGGAUGUCUGUAAUCUCCCUCCAGACUUCAUCCCUUAGCUCUUGCAUAUUUCUCUGCAGCUCUGUCAGCAUGUUUAUGAUUUUUAUUUUGAAUUCUUUUUCAGGGAGACUAGUUAGGUCUAUCUCCUUCUCAGGUGUUGUCUCUGUGAUUUUUGUCUGUCUCAGAUUUUGCCCUUUCAUGGCGAUAGAGAUAGUUUGCAGAGCUGGGGCGAGUGAUGGCUGGGAGAACGUCCCUUCUUGUUGGUUUGUGGCCUUCCUCUCCUAGGAGAACAGCAAACUCUAGCGGCUUGUGAUGGGCAGCUGCAUGCAGACGGGGCCUGUCCUUUUAAGACUUUCAAAAAGUACUCGCUUGUUCCUGGGGCGCCGGCCGCAGGGACCCGCUCACUGGUCUUACUGUCCUGUUUCCCUAGUUUCCAGCACCCCAUGCACGCACUGUGUCUGUGCUCUGGUGCUGAUGGCCAGGGCUGGGUGUUUAGCAGUCCUGGGCUCCCUCUCCCUCCCCGCUCUGACUCCUCUCCUCCUGCCAAGAGCUGGGGUGAGGGGUGCUCGGGUCCCACCGGGCCGGGGCUUGUAUGUUACCUGCUUUGCAAGGCGCUGGGUUCUCGCAGGUGUGGAUGUAGCCUGGCUAUUGUCCUGUGUCUUCUGGUCUGUCUUUGAGGGAGAGUUGUAUUUGUUGUAAUUUCAAAAAUAUAUGUGGUUUUGGGAGGAGAUUUCCGCUGCUCUACUCAUGCCACCAUCUUGGCUCCGCCAGUGUGCACGCUUUUUUAAAGGAUGGUUGCAGUGCUCCCUUUGCGUUCUUGCCUCCGGCGUCCUUCAGUAGCUCCUGGGAGCUGUCCAGCAACCUCAGUCCUGGGUUUGCAAGGCUUGGUGCAGAGAUGAAGCCACAAAACUGCAAAUAGUAAUAGAAAUGGAGCCUGGAAUAGAAGCGCCAAUCUUCCAAGGCCCUCUCAACUGACCUUUAUGGGCCCCCUCUCAGCAUGAAGCAGCCAGAGCGGUCGUCACCCCCUUUCCCUAGCAGCAGCUAGGGUCUCUAUCUGUAGAGGGGGGAAUGAGACAGGGACCUUGAGCUUAGACAGAACAGGGUGAGGGCCUCCAGAAAAGGCAAGGCAGGAUAUUUGCAGUCAGAGCAAUGUAACUGCAUGCAAGGAAACCCCCUACCAAAACUCUGUGUUAAACAUUCAGCUCUAGAGUCAUUCUUCAGUGAGAUCAGUUAAAGCUUAAAAGGCCAGGAGCAACUUGGCCUGGAAUGUUUGAGUGUUCUGCAAAUGAAGAAGGGUAUCUCAGCACAACCUGUGACUUGACUGCAAACAGCCCUGGCAAACAGACAGCAACCCAGUCCACCCUAGGGGCAGGGCAGGUGGUGCAAGUCCACACCCUAAGCCCUUUCUUCAGGUUAUUAAGGUAUGUGUGGCAUGGGAUGCAUCCUUCCUGCUCUAAUAGAUUAUCCUGGAAAUAGUCGUGAAAGAUUUCUCCGAGCUCUGCCAUCUGAUUGUGAUGACAACUUGAGGCUUUUGUUGCAGUUGCAGCUGCAUUCAUCCUGCUGGCUCAUGGGCUUCUCGGUGGAAUGCAAAAGAAACUGUCUAAGCUGGCCUGUGCAUACAGCAAGACAAUGAAUUUGACUGCUUCCGUAUUAUCUGAACUCAGUCAAGAGCUAGAAGUGUGAGUUGCAGUGCUUCAGAAUCGUGCUACUAUGACUCUCUGCUGUUAAAAGGACAUACGGGGUGUGAACAAUUUGCAGGAAUGUGCUGUUUUAAUUUGUCAGACUUCUCUCAAACCAUUCAGAAUCAACUAGACAAUAUUCAUAAUAUUAGUAAUCAGUUUUCACAAAUGCCUGGGUUACUUAACUGGUUUUCUUGGUUUCAUUGGAUAUGGCCCUUAAUUGUGGGUCUGCUUUUGUUAUGUAUCUGUAUUCCUGUUCUGUUAAUGUGUGUAUGUAAUUUAAUUGAUAGUUUGUUAAAACCCAUGCAGGUUUAUGCUACUCUACAAGAAGUUAUGUCAUAGAAAUAAUCU